AUGCCGCAGGUGAUGGCUAUUCCCCUCCUGAGGAUGCACCAGUCGGGGAGGAGACCCUUGCUCAUGGAAUUACUGCGGCUAAGGAGGUUCAGUAGGUUUCAUGCUUCCUGGACUUUCCAAAAAGGAUGUUUGCUGAUGGAAUGGCUUACCAGAAGAGGAAGAUUCUGUAAAAAUUCAGUUCCCUUGUAUGUUCCCAGCCUCUGGCAGGAGUUGGGGAUAAAAUUGAGCCCGUGGCACAAUGGGGAGGUAGGUAGGUAUUUACUGUCAUUGCAGAGUCAUCUGUGUUUAAAUGAGUAUUUACGAAUGCAUAUAUUCUGUUGUUCAGCCUAUCUCUCAUGCCAGGUAUUAUACUAGUGCUCUAAAUGUCUUCUCUCAUUGAAUUGUCACAAAACUCUUCAGAAGUAGGUGUUAUUAUCAACCUGAUUGUAUAAAAGUAGAAUCUGAGGCUUAGGGACCUGCCCAAGUUCAAAUAGCAAGCAAAUAGUGGAGCCAAGGUUGGAACCCAGGUGUGCCUGAUCCCCAAAUCCAUUGCCCUAACCACUGCUUUGUGCUACCUUGAUAGAGACAAACUCCGUGUUCAGGAAACCCAGAGAAGGGAAUACCUGAAUUGGCCAGAAAAGUCAAGGAAGCCUUCCUGGAAGAGGAGGUGCUUAAAUUGAAAUUUUAAAAAACCACCCUUUUAAAAGGACAUGUUCAAACACCCACAAAAGUAAAGAAGAUACGAAAUAAAUCUUUAAGAAAUGAGGCAGAGUUGAGGGACAGGUGCCUGCCAGAGUCCAGGAUUGUUCAGCUUUGUGUGUCUUGGGGGCACUCACAGACAAGUAGGAGACCUUGUAGAGUGUAAGGUGUGACCAGAGGCAGUGUAGGGGUCAGAUGGCGCUGCAGUGGUGGACGCCCCUUGGGAGCCUGAGUUACUUAAUUCAGAAGAUGGCUGUUCCUUAUGUUUGGACUUCCACCAUUUAUUUGGGGGCAAAAAUAAAGCUUCGGCACGUGGCACAUGGCAGGUGAGGAAACUUGCUGUUUUCGGAUUUCCCCAGCGGUGGGUAGGUAAAUAAUUUCUUGCAGUCUGGCACAGUUGGGUUCAAGGGUGAGGACUUCAAUCUUUCAGCACCGAUGGUUUGAGGCAAGGGAUGGGAACCUGAGUCACUCUUGCAAAGCCUUAAUGCAGGGGAGGCUGAAGGACUUCAUGGGAGCUGGGGCAGGCAACAGAACUGGGUAGAGCUGGGUGUGGCCCUGGGUUUUACAGCCAUGGUCCCCGGGCAAAGUCAUUUUCCCUCUUGGCAUGUUUAUACAACAGAGAUAGUUGUAGCUUGAAUUAAAAAAGUUUUAUGGUUGGUUAUAAUUUUUGACAUUGGAAAUGUCCCCCCGUGUCGUGGAGUGGUCAAACUUCCUGAAGAGCAGAGAGGAGAAAAUUUCCUGGGAUGUUUACGGCAACAGAAAUUGCCACUACGCCAGGACACAGCCAACGUCACCAUGUACCUGGCC
rnacentral:lncRNA from 1 species